AACGAACGCUGGCGGCAUGCCUAACACAUGCAAGUCGAGCGGGAUCCUAGCUUGCUAGGUGAGAGUGGCGGACGGGUGAGUAACACGUGGGAAUCUGCCUUUUGGUUCGGGAUAACCGCGGGAAACUGCGGCUAAUACCGAAUGCCCUCGAGAGAGGAAAGAUUUAUCGCCAGAAGAGGAGCCCGCGUCCGAUUAGGUAGUUGGUGGGGUAAAGGCCUACCAAGCCGACGAUCGGUAGCUGGUCUGAGAGGAUGAUCAGCCACACUGGGACUGAGAUACGGCCCAGACUCCUACGGGAGGCAGCAGUGGGGAAUAUUGGACAAUGGGGGCAACCCUGAUCCAGCAAUGCCGCGUGAGUGAUGAAGGCCUUAGGGUUGUAAAGCUCUUUUGCCAGGGAAGAUGAUGACUGUACCUGGAGAAUAAGCCCCGGCUAACUUCGUGCCAGCAGCCGCGGUAAU
rnacentral:rRNA from 1 species